rnacentral:rRNA from 1 species
CACGUAGGCACCAAGCGUUGUCCGGAUUUAUUGGGCGUAAAGAGCUCGUAGGCGGUUCGGUAAGUCGGGUGUGAAAACUUUGGGCUCAACCCAAAGCGUGCAUUCGAUACUGCCGUGACUAGAGUUCGGUAGGGGAGCGGGGAAUUCCUAGUGUAGCGGUGAAAUGCGCAGAUAUUAGGAGGAACACCGGUGGCGAAGGCGCCGCUCUGGGCCGAAACUGACGCUGAGGAGCGAAAGCGUGGGUAGCAAACAGG